rnacentral:ncRNA from 1 species
AUUUUUUACAUAAGGCACCUCGUUAAUUUAGUUUAGUGGUAUUUAUUAAAUUAUACGAAAGUGUCUUAUUUUUUUUAAAGUAUUUCAAAGUAAAAUUACAUGUUAAUACGUAGUAUUAAUGGCGAGACUCCUGAGGGAGCAGUGCCAGUCGAAGACCAAGGCUGAGACGGCACCCUAGGAAAGCGAAGCCAUUCAAUACGAAGUAUUGUAUAAAUAGAGAACAGCAG